rnacentral:misc_RNA from 1 species
UACAACAUUACAAUGAUGAUUUUCUUUCUGAAAUGCUGGACCAUAUGAGAUGCCAAUAGUUCCAAUUGGAGGACUGUUCUGCAGGCACAGCAGACUGCAGAAAUCAGCAAGUAAGAACAGGCCUCCACGCUCCACAGGCUUCUCCACAGGUUGCAGUGCCCAAAAUAAAUAUGUGGCCCCGCCCAAUUCAUUACUUCUCUCACCUCCCGUCAAAUUCUGCCAGCUGCUCUUCAGCAUUCAUUGGAUCCAUACAAGGGUCUGAUUACAUGCAUUCGUGAUUCUGCCGCCUCGUCAAUCUUUGGCUCAGCUUUGCCUAAAGUUCAAUGUCAACCUUGAAAUUUAUCCCAAAUAAGGCACUUUGCAAUCACCAGUAGUCCCCACAAGAACACAACCCGUCCUUAAAAUGAUGAAAUCUAUUAGCGUCCCUCAGAAUAAUCUCCCUUCUUGUCACUUUAGCUAUUAAUUUAAUUGCAGAGUGGCAGUCACCACAAACCCGAAGGUUUUUCAUGACACGAAUGGGCAUCCCUUCUGGCACCUUCAAAAGUCCAUAUGCCACAGCCAGUUUCUCACUGUGAUAGCGUAGGCUAUGAACCUUCUCUUCCUCAUCCACAUCAUGCAGCACAAAGCUACCAUCAGGACAAUAGCCAAUUUCUCUUAAUAAUCCACCUAGCUUUUCCAAUAUUUUCAAUAUCGCUGCAUGCUCAGGAUGUCCGGUGCUAUCUCCCCCAGUGAACAUAUGCACUUUCUUCUCUACUUCAAUCCAACUACAACCGGGUGGUUUGCUUACAUUUCUGGCUCUCAUGGAUUUUCUCAACUCAGCUACAUCUUCCCAUCUACCUUGGGAUGCAUAGAUAUUUGAAAGCAAGAUGCGAGGCCCAGCAUUUUCAGGCUCAAGCUCUAAAAGUUUCCUUGCUGCAACUUCAGCUAAAUCCAACUUCUUAUGGGUUUUACAUCCACCUAAUAAAGCACCCCAAACAAUAGCAUCUGCUUUCAUAGGCAUAUUUCCAAUUAAACUCAUUGCCUCAUUUAGCCUUCCUGCUCUGCCAAGUAGAUCAACCAUGCAAGCAUAAUGC